rnacentral:ncRNA from 1 species
UGUCUUCAGGGCGGGGUGAAAGUCCCCACCGGCGGUAAAGCCCGCGAGCCUUUCCCUUACGGAAAGUUGCAGAUUCGGUGAAACUCCGAAGCCGACAGUAUAGUCUGGAUGAAAGAAGAU